UUUUCCCUGCGGUGUUCGCGAAGGCAUACAUUCCUUUGAACCAAUAAGUUCGCUUAAGGUUGCCGGGAGUUUGCAGUGGGCGUGAGCUUCUUUACUGAAUGCACCCGAAGCUGUCCGAGGCGACCGCCUUGUCUGACAAGGUUCAAGCGGAUUGAGCCGAAACGGCACCGGCGGGGAACCC
rnacentral:other from 1 species